rnacentral:rRNA from 1 species
UACGGGGGGGGCAAGCGUUAAUCGGAAUUACUGGGCGUAAAGCGUGCGCAGGCGGCUUUGCAAGCCAGAUGUGAAAUCCCCGGGCUUAACCUGGGAACUGCAUUUGUGACUGCAUGGCUGGAGUGCGGCAGAGGGGGAUGGAAUUCCGCGUGUAGCAGUGAAAUGCGUAGAUAUGCGGAGGAACACCGAUGGCGAAGGCAAUCCCCUGGGCCUGCACUGACGCUCAUGCACGAAAGCGUGGGGAGCAAACAGG